rnacentral:rRNA from 1 species
GAGCUUGCUCCUCGGAGUUAGCGGCGGACGGGUGAGUAACACGUGGGUAAUCUGCCUGUAAGACUGGGAUAACUCCGGGAAACCGGGGCUAAUACCGGAUAAUUCCAUGAAACGCAUGUCUUCUUGUUGAAAGACGGUUUCGGCUGACACUUACAGAUGAACCCGCGGCGCAUUAGCUAGUUGGUGAGGUAACGGCUCACCAAGGCGACGAUGCGUAGCCGACCUGAGAGGGUGAUCGGCCACACUGGGACUGAGACACGGCCCAGACUCCUACGGGAGGCAGCAGUAGGGAAUCUUCCGCAAUGGACGAAAGUCUGACCGAGCAACGCCGCGUGAGCGAUGAAGGUCUUCGGAUCGUAAAGCUCUGUUGUUAGAGAAGAACAAGUGCGAGAGUAACUGCUCGCACCUUGACGGUACCUAACCAGAAAGCCACGGCUAACUACGUGCCAGCAGCCGCGGUAAUACGUAGGUGGCAAGCGUUAUCCGGAAUUAUUGGGCGUAAAGGGCUCGCAGGCGGUCUCUUAAGUCUGAUGUGAAAGCCCACGGCUCAACCGGGGAGGGUCAUUGGAAACUGGGAGACUUGAGUGCAGGAGAGAAAAGUGGAAUUCCACGUGUAGCGGUGAAAUGCGUAGAGAUGUGGAGGAACACCAGUGGCGAAGGCGACUUUUUGGCCUGUAACUGACGCUGAGGAGCGAAAGCGUGGG